GGGCGGUUAGCUCAGCGGUAGAGCAUCGCCUUCACACGGCGAGGGUCGCAGGUUCGAACCCUGCACCGCCCA
rfam:Lysobacter gummosus strain 3.2.11, complete genome.